rnacentral:rRNA from 1 species
GUGAGGGAAAGUUGCAAAGCACUUUGAAGAGAGAGUUAAAGAGGAUGUGAAACCGAUAAGAUGGAAACGGAUAGAGCCGACGUGUCUUGCCUGUAUUCAGCUGGUUGGUUGUACUUGGGUGGCUUGACGGUCCUGAUUCUGGCCGGCAUGUUACCCGUAGGCAAUUAUACUGGUGCAUUUGCAGGUUGUGUGCGCCAAAGUUUGUACUAUGCACUGGCUGGAUAGUUGCUAUGAGGUCUCACCUCGGUGAGAAACCCUAGCCUCUGGAAGGCUGUGUGCUGUGCAUGAACAUUGUUCUAUGGCUAACGACCGAGCUGUCUUUUGGUUCUGGUUAUUGUGUCAGUCGCAUGCGACUGUGCUUUAACUGGUUCUGACUGGCGGUGAGGUAUCUUAGGACUAUUUGGUGUAAAGGUUGGUUUUCUCUCCGACCCGUCUUGAAACACGGACCAAGGAGUUUAACGAUUACGCGAGUCAAUGAGUUUAAAACUCAAAGGCGCAAUGAAAGUAAAGGUUUGCUUGUCAAACUUAUAUGCGACCCCGAUGGCUUCGGCCGUUGGGAGCAGCAUAGCCCUGUUCUAUCUGCUUGCAGUGGAGUGGAGGUAGAGCGUACUCGUUGAGACCCGAAAGAUGGUGAACUAUGCCUGAGCAGGACGAAGCCAGAGGAAACUCUGGUGGAAGUCCGGAGCGGUUCUGACGUGCAAAUCGAUCGUCUGACU